GACGAACGCUGGCGGCGUGCUUAACACAUGCAAGUCGAGCGGUAAGGCCCUUUCGGGGGUACACGAGCGGCGAACGGGUGAGUAACACGUGGGUGACCUGCCCUCAGCUCUGGGAUAAGCCUGGGAAACCGGGUCUAAUACCGGAUAUGACUCCAUGACGCAUGUUGUGGGGUGGAAAGCCUUGUGCGGCUGAGGAUGGGCCCGCGGCCUAUCAGCUUGUUGGUGGGGUGAUGGCCUACCAAGGCGACGACGGGUAGCCGGCCUGAGAGGGCGACCAGCCACACUGGGACUGAGACACGGCCCAGACUCCUACGGGAGGCAGCAGUGGGGAA
rnacentral:rRNA from 1 species